AUGGAUGUACUUGCUUUUUUGUAUAAAGGAUUGAGGGAGAGGAAGCAAAAAUGACUGCAUGGGAGAAUAUGCAGAAAGCUGAAGCAAAAGCAGCCAUACAAAAGCUUGUGAUAAAACUUGAAAAGAAAAGGCCAUACUCGCUGGAGAGGAUUUUCAACACCCUCAGGUCUGGCUCUCGGAAGACAUAGGUGGUACGCAGUACAUCAACCGCAAAUCAGGAUCAGCAUAUUUCCAGAACUAUCAAAAUGGCGCCAAACCUCAGCAAGAACGGUCAAAUGAGUUCAUUGAGUGGAUGCUUCACAUGUCAUGCUUUCUAGAGAUGUAGCUCCAUGGAAAACACAGGUGGUCCAUGCACACUUAACAAUAGUUUCCUUGUUUUCAGGCACUAUUGUUAGUUUAAAGUGUAGAGGAAAAAAACAGAUCCUUGUCAGUAACCAACUAGGGACUGAAUCCCCCCUCCCCUAUUCCAAUGGUCAAUCUAUAGCAUGGAUCAUAAUCUGGAUUGUCCUUAAGUUUUUAUUGUGCUAGGGGAACAUAAGAAAGUAUGUAGAGCAAAAUGAGAGGAGCUGUUGUUACCCUCAAUUCUUUGU